rnacentral:lncRNA from 10 species
CUCCACCCUGCCUCUCCGUGGUUCCCCGGGCUGCCCCUGCCCCCGCCCCCGCCCCCGCCACCUCCCCCGCCGUCGCCCAAUUCCCCCAGCCCCCACCCUCGGCUGCUGCCCGAGCUUCCUCCACGCGCCGUGCAGUCUCCACGGCGACGCUGCGUUCCCGACUCGGAGCCCCCAGCUCCGCGCGAGCAGCUAGCCGGGCUGGCUCUCGGUGUGUGCCCUUCGGAUGGUCUGCUGAAGAGGGCCGCCAGCUGGUAAGACACUCCGAGGCAACGACCGGUCUCCCUCUCCCUAGCCCGGUGUGCAGUCUGACCCAGCCCCCACAGCAGACCACCCCCAGACCGGGCGCCCGAGUCUGCGGACCGCUCUACCGCACCUGGUUCUGGCUCUGGGCCCCGGGCCCCGUGGCUGCCAGGGGCCGCCGGGAAGGGAGGAUGCGCGCCACUGGGGUGCGCCUGGCUUGCGGCACCCUCCUCCCGCAGUGGUCGGAAGAGGACUUCUGUAGACAAGACAGAUACUGUAAAGACAGCAAAGAACAAACAGAAUGGCAGAUUGCUAAUGUUUGAUCCAAACGAAAAAGUGAUGAUUGAAUCAAACGAAGCAAUGUCAGAGUAAGAAGAUGUCUUUGAUUGUGCAGCUGAUCUCUCCCAUGCCUUUUAAGCAAUUAGAACUAGAUAAUGCAGCCAUUUGUCACCCAAUUAAAUUUGAAAGGCCAGAAAUGCAUGGAUUAGCACUUCAGCUUUUGCUGCAGUCAAAGCAAUUGUUACUAUAGAUAGAAGGACAGUUAAAAUGAAAAAUGAAUUUUGAUAAAAAUGCAGAAGUAUAGAUAAUAUUCACUUCUACUUUUUAAUGCUUAAACACCCUGUAUUCUGUAUUUUACUUGUAUCAUAAUUUUCAUUGCUCAUUCCUAUUUCCCUUUGAUACUUAUUUCUUUCACAAUAUUUCUUCAAGUGAAUAUGUACUUUAAAAUUAACAAAUUAUUUACUAUAACAUGAAUUGUUACUACUCAAUAAAGAAAGUAAUCACCUCAACUAGUUGAAGAAA